CGCCUCCUGCCACCUAUAGGAGGUCCAGCCUGCCCAGUGACCUAGUUUAACGGCCGCGGUAUCCUAACCGUGCGAAGGUAGCGUAAUCACCUGUUUUUUAAUUGAAGACCUGUAUGAAAGGCAUCACGAGAAUCGUACUGUCUCCUUUUUCUAAUCAGUGAAACUAAUCUUCCCGUGAAAAAGCGUGAAUGUCUAUACAAGACGAGAAGACCCUUUGGAGCUUAAGAUAAAGUAACGUUUUGUACCUCCACUCUAACCUAUUUCUAUAAACAUUUACAUUACAAGUCUUCGGUUGGGGCAACCGCGGAGUAAAAUUUACCCUCCAAGCUGAACGGAAUUUUCCUAAGCAAGAAGCCACAACUUUAUGCAUCAAUAAAUUGACAUCAUGACCCAAUAUUUUGAUUAUCGAACCAAGUUACCCUAGGGAUAACAGCGCAAUCCACUUCGAGAGUUCAUAUCGACAAGUGGGCUUACGACCUCGAUGUUGGAUCAGGGUAUCCCAGUGGUGCAGCCGCUACU
rnacentral:rRNA from 1 species